GUCUUCUCCAGCUAUUAGGGAUAAAAAGUAAUGUGUUCGGCAUCCUCUUCGAGUUUCCAUCACAUCUCGUCUACUAUCGCGUUGAUUUAGACACCAUCUUCAUGAUCCACCUAAUGUAAUUGCUAUUUGGUAGCUUCAUCGUCCCCUUAGACCUUGGUAGCCUCUACGGAGGUAAAGGUCUUCCUUUUUUACUCCUUCAGUACUUGCACAGUACAUCUACAAAAUUGGAUUUUUUGAUACUUGAUGGAGGUUACGACAUCCAUCUUUGUCAGCCAAGGUCACCCUAGAAUCUCAUUGUAGGGAGAUGGAUUGCUUACUAUUAUGAACAUCUGUUUUGAGACAAUUGGCGGUGUUCUCACAUCAAGUGUAAUGUUACCGAUGGCAGUCGAGUUGUGUUCGUUGAAUCCAGUGAGUACCUCCACUCAGUGUAUGAUUGUGUUUUACAGGCCCAUCUUAUAAGUUAAUGAGAGCUAAAGUAGGUUGACUGCACUAAUGAGAGCUGAAGUAGCUGAAGUGUAAUGUCUUGAUCCGUUGAAUUCGAGGUCCUUGCGCUUGGCCUCUGCUUGCUUUUGUUCUUGUGUUGAUUCUCGUCCUCAUUCUUUUGAGCUACUGUCGAUUCUUUUCAAGGCUGUUCGAGUACCUUGUCUGCUAGUCGAGCGUAGUACCAAAGUGCAUGCUUAUCUGCCAGAGCAAAUGAGUCUGCUAGAGUUAGAUCUUUUUGUAGAUAUGUAAAUUUCGUUGCAUACAAAUGAUGCAUCACAAAGCUCCACGUGGCAUAUGACUCAUCACAAAUGGAUAACAUGUGGCACAAAUCAAGCAAAGGAAGCUCAAAACUUCCCCAAAAUUCGGCAAAAUGGGGAAAUAUCCCUUAAAAUCGGCAACGGGUCCAAAUUGCUCCUAAACCGAAAAGAAAGCUAAAGCAUCUUCACAAAACAAGCAAAAAUUGAAGAUUACUUGCAAAAUAGGCAACAAACCCUAUAGAUUUCGGCCAAGCAAUGGAAAGUGGCUAAAAUUAAGACAUAAAACAUGCCUCCCAUGGACAAAUCAAUACACAAAUUAAGGCCAAAUCCAUCCAAAGGCAUGGCUUUGAGAAGUCUAUAAAUACAAUGUCCCAAGACACACAAAAGGGUCGACAAUUUCUACAUUCAAAGCUGCAAGUGGUGGCACUUUGGGCAUCACAACCCGAAGCAAGGCAAGAGCUCUCUCUACCAUGCCUUCCACCCCUACAUCAACUCUGUCGGAGAAG
rnacentral:lncRNA from 1 species